CAGGAUUAGAUACCCUGGUAGUCCACGCCCUAAACGAUGUCUACUAGCUGUUGGGGCCUUCGGGCCUUGGUAACGCAGCUAACGCGUGAAGUUGACCGCCUGGGGAGUACGGUCGCAAGAUUAAAACUCAAAGGAAUUGACGGGGACCCGCACAAGCGGUGGAUGAUGUGGAUUAAUUCGAUGCAACGCGAAAAACCUUACCUACCCUUGACAUGUCUGGAAUCCUGAAGAGAUUUAGGAGUGCUCUCAAGAGAACCGGAACACAGGUGCUGCAUGGCUGUCGUCAGCUCGUGUCGUGAGAUGUUGGGUUAAGUCCCGCAACGAGCGCAACCCUUGUCAUUAUUUGCUACGAAAGGGCACUCUAAUGAGACUGCCGGUGACGAACCGGAGGAAGGUGGUGAUGACGUCAAGUCCUCAUGGCCCUUAUGGGUAGGGCUUCACACGUCAUACAAUGGUCGGGACAGAAGGUCGCCAACCCGCGAGGGGGAGCUAAU
rnacentral:rRNA from 1 species